rnacentral:tRNA from 1 species
GCCGGUGUAGCUCAGUUGGUAGAGCAGCUGUUUUGUAAACAGCAGGUCGUCAGUUCGAGCCUGUCCACCGGCUCCA